UGUCAAUGAGGCGAGAGGUCAGUGUGAUCAGGUGGUGGCCCGACGCAGGUGUUUCUGGCGCCUGCGAUAAUGAACGAAGAUGAACGUUAUGAUUCAUUGUGUUGAUGAUGUGACCGAGAAAGAGCCUCUGCUCUGAUUCUGGUAACGCCGAGAUGCAGCAAUGUACAACAGGAAAACAGACAUCAUUCAUCAGGAAGUGUGUUAAAGUGAAGGCAGCUCCAAAGGACUUACAACAAGAUGGCCGACUGGCCGACUUGAACACAAUUCAAUUAGUUUUCACUUUUAAAAAGAAGAAAAAGGAAUAAAAUAAACUCAAAACAAUCCAUAAAUGGUCCAUCUAGAGUAUUCUUAUUUACAACAAAGCCCACAGCGCCUUCGUCAGCCCGUAGUUCUGUCUGUAUGUGCCAAGAGGAACCGUUCAGUCUGCACUGACUCGCUCCUGGGACGUCCCAGCAGGUGCUUUAUUAAAAUAACAACAGGAAACAAUUGUGACUGAACUGAUAAACCUUGUUUUAAA
ensembl:lncRNA